GACGAACGCUGGCGGCGUGCUUAACACAUGCAAGUCGAACGGAAAGGCCUGCCUUCCCUUGUAGAUUGCGGGUACUCGAGUGGCGAACGGGUGAGUAACACGUGAGUGAUCUGCCCCCAACUUGGGAAUAAGCCUGGGAAACUGGGUCUAAUUCCCGAUAGGACUGCAGGGUGGUGCCUGUGGUGGAAAACGAUUUUCUAGUGGUUGGGGAUGAGCUCGCGGCCUAUCAGCUUGUUGGUGGGGUAAUGGCCUACCAAGGCGGCGACGGGUAGCCGGCCUGAGAGGGUGGACGGCCACAGUGGGACUGAGAUACGGCCCAGACUCCGACGAGAGGCAGCAGUGGGGAAUAUUGGACAAUGGGCGGAAGCCUGAUGCAGCGACGCCGCGUGGGGGAUGACGGGCUUCGGGUUGUAAGCUCCUUUCGACCGCGAGGAAGCCACCUGGUUGGAAGGGUGGUGACGGUAGUGGUAGAAGAAGCACCGGCUAACUACGUG
rnacentral:rRNA from 1 species